GGAGAGAUGGCAGAGCGGUUGAAUGCGGUUGCCUCGAAAGCAAUUGUUUCAUGAAAAUGAAACCGGGGGUUCGAAUCCCCCUCUCUCCUCCA
rnacentral:tRNA from 1 species